rnacentral:piRNA from 1 species
UCAUACUGGUGAAAUGCCCUUUGAGUGU